GGAGGACGGCCAGCAACACUGGGACUGAGACACUGCCCAGACUCCUACGGGAGGCUGCAGUCGAGAAUAUUUAGCAAUGGACGAAAGUCUGACUAUGCGACGCCGCGUGAGGGAUGAAGGAUUUCGGUUCGUAAACCUCUUUUGGCAGGGAAGAAAAAGUUGCAUCUAACACAUGCAAAACUGACGGUACCUGCAGAAUAAGCCACGGCUAACUCCGUGCCAGCAGCCGCGGUAAUACGGAGGUGGCUAGCGUUACUCGGAAUUAUUGGGUGUAAAGGGCAAGUAGGCGGCUUGGCAAGUGGGGGGUGAAAUACUCCGGCUCAAUCGGAGAACUGCCUUCCAAACUGCCAGGCUUGAGUGUGACAGAGGAAAAUGGAAUUCUCGGUGAAAGGGCGAAAUCUGUAGAUAUCGAGAAGAACACCAGCGGCGAAGGCGAUUUUCUGGGUCACUACUGACGCUAAAUUGCGAAAGCUAGGGGAGCAAACAGAAUUAGAUACUCUGGUAGUCCUAGCCGUAAACGAUGAGCACUAGAUGUCGGUCCCUUUAGGGGUCGGUGUCGCAGCUAACGCAUUAAGUGCUCCACCUGGGGACUACGGUCGCAAGGCUAAAACUCAAAGGAAUUGACGGGGGCCCGCACAAGCGGUGGAACAUGUGGUUUAAUUCGAAGCUACGCGAAGAACCUCACCAGGGCUUGACAUAUGGGAAGUAGUGAAAUGAAAGUGGAACGACCUGUCAAGUCAGGAACCUAUACAGGUGCUGCAUGGCUGUCGUCAGCUCGUGUCGUGAGAUGUUGGGUUAAGUCCCGCAACGAGCGCAACCAUUAUCCUUUGUUGCCACUUACCUCUAGCUUGCUAGAGGUGAAGCACUCUAAGGAGACUGCCUGGGAUAACCAGGAGGAAGGUGGAGAUGACGUCAAGUCAGUACGGCCUUUAUGCCCUGGGCGACACACGUGUUACAAUGGGUGAGACAGAGGGUUGCCAACCCGCGAGGGGGAGCUAAUCUCUAAAAUUCAUCCUCAGUUCAGAUUGGAGUCUGCAAUUCGACUCCAGGAAGCCGGAAUCGCUAGUAAUGGCAGAUCAGCACGCUGCCGUGAAUACGUUCCCGGGCCUUGUACACACCGCCCGUCAAGCGAUGGGAGCGAGGAGUACCCGAAGUCCUGUGUAGGCAGGCCGAAGGUAAAACUCGUGACUGGCGCUAAGU
rnacentral:rRNA from 1 species